rnacentral:tRNA from 1 species
GGGCGUGUGAAUGUAGUGGAUAUCAAUUGGGAAUGCGAGUCCCUCUACCUGGGUUCGAAUCCCAGCACGCCCUCCA